AUGCGGAGACGCGCGCGCGCUCACCCCGUCCGCCGCCCCGAAUCGCUGCUCUACAGCUCAACCCGCAGCUUCCCGCAGCAAAGAAGUGGCUUCUUGUGCAGAGUUAGCUGGUGUGUAGGAUGGAAUCUUGGGCCCCCCAUUCAUCCCUAUGGGGGAAAAAGGUCUGCAAAUAUAGUACACUCUUAUUUUUCAGUUCCUCUCUUACUCAUUCGUUUCUCCCCUGGUCUUUCUUGCUUCUGUCACUUACUCUCUCGCUCAGUCCCACCUCAGUAUCUCUCUCUCUCUCUAACCCUAAUUCCCCUCUCUGUUCUUUUGUCUCCCUCUCUCUAGCAGUCUUUCAUUCUCCUUCUGUCACUUACUCUCUCGCUCAGUCCCACCUCAGUAUCUCUCUCUCUCUCUAACCCUAAUUCCCCUCUCUGUUCUUUUGUCUCCCUCUCUCUAGCAGUCUUUCAUUCUCCUUCUGUCACUUACUCUCUCUCACUGUCCCUCACUCCCCCCCUCUCUCUGUCUCUGACUCACUUGCUCCUUUUUCCACUUUGCCUUGGAUUCCCCUCCUUGCUUUCUGUGUUUUUCUCCCUCUGACUCUCUCUCACACGCAUUCACUCUCUCUCUCUUUCAUCCCCACUCUGACGAUCCCACCCUCUCUCUCUCUCUCUCUCUCUCUCUCUCUCUGUGCUGUAGCUCACACAGUGGUUCAUUGAUUCAACCUAAAAACAUCUCUUCAUGUGGAAACAAGCAGUUUAACUGGGUUUAUUCAUCUCGAACCAGUUGGGUUCUGGCAGGGAGUCAGAAUUCUGCACAACACUGGUGCUGGCCGAUGAAGACAUGUUUAUAUGUUUAUGUCGUAUGCACAUAAAUCUGAUAUCCUGUCUAGAACCAUGUAUUAAAGGCUGUGUUUUAACUGCCAGCCAAAUUCCAACUUUGAUCUAGAUUGCAUCAAGAUUUAUUUACUUUUGUGUGGACAGCAAAAUCCAACAAAUCCAAGACAAAACUGUGGAAAAACUGGGAUGGGCUGGAAGAUCAGGGGCCCUAUUUUAACUUUUUAUAAGCGAGCCAUCAACCAUGCACUGAGCAGGUUGAUUUAGGGCGUGUCAGUGUGUCUUUGCUAUCAUAAAGACGGGAAAAGUACACCUUGAAAUGCACAAAAGGCAUUAAUUAAUUAUGAAUGUGUUUUAGGCUUAACGUGAAAUUAAUUAAUCACUGUGACACUUGCCAAAUCUGAAAAAAAUCUUGUAUUUUUAAAAAUAUC
rnacentral:lncRNA from 1 species